UAUAAGAAUUAUUUAACUAUAGAGUAGAUACCAAAAAGUAGCAAUAACAAAAGCACUACUAACUCUUUCAGAAUAGGCUUCGACUUUGCUGCUUUGGAUGAAAUUAAAACAGAGGUUUCUGGCCUAAAGGUGUCUUAUCGGUUUUUUCGGAGAUAAGAUCCCGGAGAAGUAUGUUAAAAUGAUCAUCCUAAAUGUAAAUACUCAAUCAUUACUUCAGAAAGUGGACGCGUUUGAAAUCAUGCUUGAUGAACAUAGCUUGGACAGUGCUUGCAUAACCGAGUACUGGCUGCGCCAAAAAGAUUGUGCUCAAUUAAAUAGUCAUGAAUGGAUGUCAAUGUUUUGUCAGAAAAGUAAAAUUCAUGGGAGGCGUUGGCAUUCUGUGUAUAGGUCCCCUGGCGGUAAUCUCCAAAUUUUCUAAGAUAGACUUAGUGAAGCACUGCAUAUUGGAAAAUGACUUUAAAAAUCAUAAAAUUGUUCUAACUGGAGAUUUUAAUAUUAACUUUAUGGAGGAAAGCAAGUCGAGGAAUCAAUUGACAGAUGUGAUGGAAGACUAUCGUACAAUUUUACAUCGCCUUUCAGGGUCACAGAAAAAUCUGCAAGUUGCAUUGACAAUAUUUUCAGUAAUGUUUGCCUUUUUAUACUGGCGGCUUCAACCAUGGAACUGCAUAUCUCCGACCACCGUGGCCAGUUAUUGAGGAUUAUGGGUGAUAGGGGCAGUCCUUCUAAGCAAUACAAAAGCAUAAAGGCGAGAGUGCGAAGUGAGCGAAUCGAUGGAGUCUGCUUUUUCAGAGGAGCUCUGUACAUAAUAAAAGGGUUAAAAUAAACGUGAGAAGCAGGUGCAGAUUAUCGCAAUCUGUUCUGGAGAAAAAGCUUUUGUUGGAUUCGCUGGGUAUGAUGGCUGCGAGUAAGAUAGAUGCUCAAUCUUACGAAAUUUAUAAUACCUGUAAGCUGGAAUAUCUACUACUGGUGAAUGAAGACUGGUGACUGAAGCUAUAUAAAGCGCUGCCAACAAAAAUAAUAAAAUGUGGGAGAUAAUAAGAACAGAAAAAGGCAUUAAGGAAAAAAAUCACAAGGUAAUAAUGAUUUAGACGCUUCUGGUUUCAGUCCUCGACUCAUCCUGAGGUUUGCUUAACAAAAAUCAACAAAAACUGCUGAAGAUGGUGCUGAAGAGAUUUUACGUAUUAUUAAUAAAAUGAAACGAGGCGAUAGUCAAGACAUAUAUGACUUUAUCGCUAUUAUGAUCAAGUUAGUAGGUGACGUAAUUUCGCCGCCCCUGGCUAUAAUUUUUAAUAAAUGUAUGGAGUGUUUCCGGACAAACUGAAAAUUGCCAAAAUAACUCCGGUCUAUAAGAAAAGGGACAAAAGCAAUUACGGCAAUUAUCGCCUGAUUGCACUCUUGCCUUUUCUAAGGUAUUUGAACAAAUUAUCAAACGCCGUCUCUUAAACUAUCUAGAGAAAUAUAACAUUCUUGAGAAUGCUAUAGAACGGGCAAAUCAACAACAUCGGCUAUCAUCGAACUUAUUAGUCAUAUCACGGAAGCACACGAUGAUGCCAUCCUCCAUCAUGCCAUCCUAUUGUCUAAACUUGAUUAUUAUGGGCAUCAGGGGAAAAGCAAAUAUAUUGCUAGAAUCGUAUUUAUCCAGACGAUAUCACUGUGUCAGGUGGAACUCGGAUCUCUCUGAAAUGACAGAAUGCAAUUGGGGUGUUUCCCAGGGAUCAAAACUUGGCCCCCUUCUAUUUAUAGUUUAUAUAAAUGAUCUCCCAAAAAAUGUAGAAAGUGCUAUGUCAUGUCUCUAUGCGGAUGAUACCUCCUGUAGUUCGAGGGCAUGCUGCCGAGGAUGUUGAGAAUAGUAGUAAUGAUACACUCGUCUCUGAUGGUGACUGAUUAAGUACAAUAAAUAACGAAGAGACUCAAACACUGGAUUUCUUCCACAAACAAGAUAAGAAUACUAUAAAGCUUCUGGGCCUGAUGUUACCUGAUACCCCAUUAAAUUGGGGGGAACAUAUAAGUGCAUUGUGUACUCGGUUGGCGGGUGUGGUGUUUUUGGUGAGCAGAUUGACACAUCGUGCUACGCUAGAAAUCGCCAAAACGGCUUAUUUCGCGUGUUUUCAUGCUAUCGCCGGGUAUGGUAUUGCAGUGUCAGGAUCGGCCUCGGCAAUGCAGAGAAUAUUUUUGCUUCCAAAGAGGUGUGUGCGUGCGCUUGAUGGCCUCGGACAGAUGGAAAGUUGUAAGCCGUCAUUCAAAACAUAACAUUUUAACAAUUCCGUGUUUGUAUGUGUUAGCAUGCUUGGAUUUUGUGCAUAAAAAAUAAAACUAAUUAUCCAAAAAACUGUCAUCUGCAUGACUAUGAUACACGUAAUAGAUUAUUUUUUGAAGUACCGUCCUAUCGCCUUAAAACAACAUUUUUAUUCGAUUCACGAAUUUCUAACUUGCGAAAAUUUGUUUGACUCUGUAGUCUAGAGACUUUGCAUUGUACUGUGUUUUUGUAUUGGUCUUUGGACUUUACAAGAAAAAUUUGAAAUUAUUGUCAUUUACGGCGAAUAUGCCGAAAGAAGAAUAGAAAAAAUAUAAAUAUGCAAUAUUGGAGUAUAAUUUCAUGCUGGAUUUCUCAAUCAACAACAAAUAUAUAGAUUUUCUUGAAAAGCAUCUACCAGAAUUUCUUGAAGGCCAAAGCUU